AAAAGAUCGACGUAUAUGGACGAUCAAAAAAAUCCAUAUCCACCUUGUGUGCACUCACUGACCGUUCGCUUUGGCAGGAGGGAGUCUUGGAUGAUUUUUAUUUUCCAAGCGGGGGGGAGGAAGGGAAAGACAACAUUCUCUUUCUCCCUCGGCCUGCCAGAGUUUUUAAAAUCAACCCUUUAUUCUUCUUUUUGGACUGAACCCUCGUCUCGAUUCUCCGUAAUCGAUCGAACCAAAUA
rnacentral:misc_RNA from 1 species